UUGGUUGCCCUCCUACUUUUCGUGUUACCUGUUGGCGGACUUCUGCACUCUUUCUGCACACACACAUACCCCGGUGUGCUUAUGUGUGUGUAUGCAAUCGUAUACGUGGUGCACCUGAUCAGUGCAUUUUACAACUCCCUUGCGGCACUGAACGGCGUGUUGCGCUCAGGGCACCCUCCUGUUGCCUCGUUUUGCUCUUGUCGCCCAUCUCGUCGCACUAUAGAGACGGUCGUCGAGUCGACGCCGUGCAGGCUCAAGUACGCGGAAAAGAGGCGGAAGCGAACGUAUCCGUACGCACAGACACACUCAUCUGAAGCGAGAGACGAGGAAGCAGUGAGUCUGCACUCAAUCUGUUUUCUCUCUCUCCACACACACACACACACACACACAUGCACAUGCACAUGCACAUAGUUUACUGGCGGUCACGCACAUCUCGGAUCUCAUCGCAGCUUUUAUUUUCGCAGUCCCGCUUGCACGUUGUGUGCAUUCGCACGGGUCUGCCCUCCCCCUUCCGUGCUGGGAGCGGAGCGGUAUCGUCCAACCGGAAGAUCGAGAAGAGAGCGGACCGUGUAUCAACCGAAAGCGCUCCAACGCAACGCCAUUCGCACGCGUGGACACCGUCGAGGUGGGCCGCCUUCUUGUGCGGUCGCGGGUCGGAUCGCGGAGGCUGCUUAGACCGCUGCACAAGAAGCCCCGAGGCGGUGCAGAAAGAAGGACACAACGAGUUCUAGGAGUGUCUUGCUAGCUGCUCGUGUCGUUUCGGUGUGUGUUUCUGCUGAGUGGUCCAGUGGUUCUCUGCUUCGUGCUUGUUGUUUCCGCUGCGCCCUCGCUCACACUCCAACUGUGGCCUGCGCGUGCGUCUGUGAGCUUGUCACGUCUCUCCCGUCUCUUGACGGUGCCUCUGUCUGUGCCCUUUCUGUGUCUUCCUUUCCUCUGGAUCAACGUGAGAUACCGAAACACACACCUGUCCAUCGCGUACACACACACACACACAUAUAUAUAUAUAUAUAUAUAUAUAUAUACAUUUCGUUGUUCGCCUUGAAUGCACGCUGCUCGCUUGCCCUCUCCACCUCUCUUUAUCCGUCUGCUUGCUGGCCUGGUUCUCUGUAUUUGCCUGCGCGUCUUUCUCUCGGUGUCUGCCUUGGAUUUUCUUGGUGUUCCUGCUCCCUUCCUGAGCGCUCCAUGGGGCGCAAUAUCAUCAUACUUCUCUGUGGGUUUUCUUCGCAAAGGCGGCGCAUCAGUGCCAUUUGAGUCUUCCACCUUCGCUGAUCUGUUAUCCGCUGCCCUUUCUCCACGUCUCUACCCAG
rnacentral:misc_RNA from 1 species